UAAAUUUGAUCAAGCUGUUUUCAGGUAUAAUUUUUGUUGAGUUUCUGUGAGCGAGAUCCAUUUCAGCAGAAUCAUGUCAUUUCCUGUAGCAACUCAGCCGCAGAAAAUGGAGAUGAGCCAGGCACCAGGGAUGGCUGGGUUGCCACAAAGUCUCCAGUAUCUGGCGGGGUUGGAUCAAAUUAUCAUCAAACAGAAAUUUGAGGCUCUCGAAGUGUUGACAGGGUUUGAAACCAGAAAUAGGUAUGCUGUCUUAGACAACAAAGGCCAACAAAUCUUCUUUGUACAGGAAG
rnacentral:lncRNA from 1 species